GUGGUCUGGCAGUGCGUGUUAGCUGGCUGUUGUCCCAAGGUACCAACAGCUGCUCACGGCACUCCAGACUGC
ensembl:miRNA gga-mir-449c gga-mir-449c